AGAGUUUGAUCCUGGCUCAGGAUGAACGCUGGCGGCGUGCCUAACACAUGCAAGUUGAGCGAUUUACUUCGGUAAAGAGCGGCGGACGGGUGAGUAACGCGUGGGUAACCUACCCUGUACACACGGAUAACAUACCGAAAGGUAUGCUAAUACGGGAUAAUAUAUUUGAGAGGCAUCUCUUGAAUAUCAAAGGUGAGCCAGUACAGGAUGGACCCGCGUCUGAUUAGCUAGUUGGUAAGGUAACGGCUUACCAAGGCGACGAUCAGUAGCCGACCUGAGAGGGUGAUCGGCCACAUUGGAACUGAGACACGGUCCAAACUCCUACGGGAGGCAGCAGUGGGGAAUAUUGCACAAUGGGCGAAAGCCUGAUGCAGCAACGCCGCGUGAGUGAUGAAGGCCUUCGGGUCGUAAAACUCUGUCCUCAAGGAAGAUAAUGACGGUACUUGAGGAGGAAGCCCCGGCUAACUACGUGCCAGCAGCCGCGGUAAUACGUAGGGGGCUAGCGUUAUCCGGAUUUACUGGGCGUAAAGGGUGCGUAGGCGGUCUUUCAAGUCAGGAGUGAAAGGCUACGGCUCAACCGUAGUAAGCUCUUGAAACUGGGAGACUUGAGUGCAGGAGAGGAGAGUGGAAUUCCUAGUGUAGCGGUGAAAUGCGUAGAUAUUAGGAGGAACACCAGUUGCGAAGGCGGCUCUCUGGACUGUAACUGACGCUGAGGCACGAAAGCGUGGGGAGCAAACAGGAUUAGAUACCCUGGUAGUCCACGCUGUAAACGAUGAAUACUAGGUGUAGGGGUUGUCAUGACCUCUGUGCCGCCGCAAAC
rnacentral:rRNA from 1 species